UACGUAGGUGGCAAGCGUUGUUCGGAAUUAUUGGGCGUAAAGGGCGCGUAGGCGGCUUGUUAAGUCGGCUGUGAAAGCCCGGGCUCAACCCCGGAGGGUCAGCCGAUACUGGCAGGCUAGAGUACGGAAGAGGUAGCUGGAAUUCCCAGUGUAGCGGUGAAAUGCGUAGAUAUUGGGAAGAACACCUGAGGCGAAGGCGGGUUGCUGGGCCGACACUGACGCUGAUGCGCGAAAGCCAGGGGAGCGAACGGG
rnacentral:rRNA from 1 species